UUGACAUCCAGAGAAUUUAGCAGAGAUGCUUUAGUGCCUUCGGGAACUCUGAGACAGGUGCUGCAUGGCUGUCGUCAGCUCGUGUUGUGAAAUGUUGGUUAAGUCCGCAACGAGCGCAACCCUUAUCCUUUGUUGCCAGCACGUAAUGGUGGGAACUCAAAGGAGACUGCCGGUGAUAAACCGGAGGAAGGUGGGGAUGACGUCAAGUCAUCAUGGCCCUUACGAGUAGGGCUACACACGUGCUACAAUGGCGUAUACAAAGAGAAGCGACCUCGCGAGAGCAAGCGGACCUCAUAAAGUGCGUCGUAGUCCGGAUUGGAGUCUGCAACUCGACUCCAUGAAGUCGGAAUCGCUAGUAAUCGUAAAUCAGAAUGUUACGGUGAAUACGUUCCCGGGCCUUGUACACACCGCCCGUCACACCAUGGGAGUGGGUUGCAAAAGAAGUAGAUAGCUUAACCUUCGGGAGGGCGUUUACCACUUUGUGAUUCAUGACUGGGGUGAAGUCGUAACAAGGUAGGCGUAGUGCU
rnacentral:rRNA from 1 species